rnacentral:rRNA from 1 species
CGGCUGAACCAGCGAUUUGAAGGAAUGAAUAUCAACAUUUUAUUAUUUUUUGAAUAAAGUUCUGGCUAGGAUAAUGAUAAUGACAAUUUCCUAUCUAAAUGUCUUGACUAAGUCACGUGCCAGCAGUCGCGGUAAUACGUGAGAGACGAGCGUUAUUCAUCUUUAAUUGGUUUAAAGGGUACCUAGACGGUAAUUCUUGCCUUAGAAUGGGAACAGAAUUACUAGAGUUUUAUGUGAAAAGCUUAGAAUUGGUGGUGUAGAGAUAAUAUACAAAAAUACCAUUAGGACUGGUAAAGGCGAAGGCAAACUUUUAUGUAAAAACUGACGUUGAGGGACGAAGGCUGGGAUAGCAAACAGGAUUAGAUACCCUAGUAGCCCCAGCAGAAAAUGAUGAAUGCCAUAGGUUGUAUUAAAUGGCCUAUAAAUGAAAGUGUAAGCAUUCCACCUCAAGAGUAAUGUGGCAACACAGAAACUGAAAUCAUUAGACCGCCCCCGAGACCAGUAGUGAAGUAUGUUAUUUAAUUCGAUGGUCCACGAAAAAUCUUACCACAAUUUGAAUAUUUAGUGACAAGAAAUUAUUAUUAAUUUGUUAGAAAAAGUAAUAUAACUUCUCUUUACAAGCGUUGCACGGCUGUCUACAGUUAAUACCGCGAGGGGUUGGUUGGCUCCAAGAAUUGACGUACACCCUAACUUUAUUUAAUACUACCAAUAAAUUAAUUUUGAUUAUAAUAUUAUAAAGUAGUUCACCGACAUAAUGGAUGUGAUAAUAGGGAUAAAGACAAGUCAUCAUGACCUUAAUAUUGUGGGC